GACGAACGCUGGCGGCGUGCUUAACACAUGCAAGUCGAACGGAAAGGCCCUGCUUUUGUGGGGUGCUCGAGUGGCGAACGGGUGAGUAACACGUGAGUAACCUGCCCUUGACUUUGGGAUAACUUCAGGAAACUGGGGCUAAUACCGGAUAGGAGCUCCUGCUGCAUGGUGGGGGUUGGAAAGUUUCGGCGGCUGGGGAUGGACUCGCGGCUUAUCAGCUUGUUGGUGGGGUAGUGGCUUACCAAGGCUUUGACGGGUAGCCGGCCUGAGAGGGUGACCGGCCACAUUGGGACUGAGAUACGGCCCAGACUCCUACGGGAGGCAGCAGUGGGGAAUAUUGCACAAUGGGCGGAAGCCUGAUGCAGCAACGCCGCGUGCGGGAUGACGGCCUUCGGGUUGUAAACCGCUUUCGCCUGUGUCGAAGCGUGAGUGACGGUAAUGGGUAAAGAAGCACCGGCUAACUACGUG
rnacentral:rRNA from 1 species